AAAUACUACCUGAUGACCGAUAGAGGAGCAGUACCGUGAGGGAAAGGUGAAAAGAACCCCGGGAGGGGAGUGAAAUAGUACCUGAAACCUUGUGCUUACAAGCAGUUACAGCCCGUUAAAGGGUGGUAGCGUACUUUUUGUAGAACGGUCCGGCGAGUUAUAGUCACUAGCGAGCUUAAGACAUUCAGUGUUGGAGGCGUAGGGAAACCGAGUCUGAACAGGGCGAAUGAAGUUAGUGGCCAUAGACCCGAAACCAUGUGACCUAGCCAUGAGCAGGAUGAAGUGGAGGUAAAGCUCCAUGGAGGUCCGAACGCACGUUCGUUGCAAUGACCGGCGAUGACUUGUGGCUAGCGGUGAAAUUCCAAUCGAACUUGGAGAUAGCUGGUUCUCCCCGAAAUAGCUUUAGGGCUAGCGUUGGGAAUGAGUUUAGCGGAGGUAAAGCACUGAAUGAGCUAGGGGGCGCAAGCUUACUGAACUCUAUCAAACUAAGAAUGCCGCAUAAAUGCUUCCCAGCAGUCAGACUGCGAGUAAUAAAAUCCGUGGUCAAAAGGGUAACAGCCCAGACCCACAGCUAAGGUCCCCAAUACAUGCUAAGUGGAAAACGAUGUGAGAUUGCAUAAACAACCAGGAUGUUGGCUUAGAGGCAGCCACUCGUUCAAAGAGUGCGUAAUAGCUCACUGGUCGAGUGAUCUUGCGCGGAAAAUUUAACGGGGCUAAGCAUGUAACCGAAGCUUGGGAUUGCGCAAAGCGCAGUGGUAGGGGAGCGUCGUGUACGGGGUGAAGUACGAUCGAGAGGACGUGUGGACUGUACACGAGUGAGAAUGCCGGAAUGAGUAGCGAGAAUUAUGUGGGAAUCAUAAUGGCCGAAAAUCUAAGGUUUCUUGGGGAAGGUUCGUCCGCCCAAGGUAAGCCGGGAGCUAAGGCGAGGCCGAAAGGCGUAGUCGAUGCACAUACGGUUGAAAUUCCGUAGCCACCUUAUCGAUCAAAGCUGACACAUGGAGAUAGCCGAACCCGGGCGUUGGUUGACCCGGGCGAAAGGGACCGAACUACAGUAGGGAAGUCGGCGAUGCUCUGUGGCGAGAAAAGGCGAAGAUAGGGUGCCCGUACCGCAAACCGACACAGGUAGAUGAGGAGAGAAUCCUAAGGCCAACGGGAGAAAGGUUGUUAAGGAACUCGGCAAAAUUGCCCCGUAACUUCGGGAGAAGGGGCGCCCUCGAAAGAGGGCCGCAGUGAAAAGGCCCAAGCGACUGUUUACCAAAAACACAGGUCUCUGCUAAAUCGAAAGAUGACGUAUAGGGGCUGACGCCUGCCCGGUGCUGGAAGGUUAAGAGGAGGACUUAGCGCAAGCGAAGGUCUGAAUUUAAGCCCCAGUAAACGGCGGCCGUAACUAUAACGGUCCUAAGGUAGCGAAAUUCCUUGUCAGGUAAGUUCUGACCCGCACGAAUGGCGUAACGAUUUGGGCACUGUCUCAACAGCCUACCCGGCGAAAUUGUAGUACCGGUGAAGAUGCCGGUUACCCGCAACUAGACGGAAAGACCCCAUGGAGCUUUACUGCAGCUUAAUACUGAGAUUCGGUAAUUCAUGUACAGGAUAGGUGGGAGACUUAGAAGCAGAGUCGUUAGGCGCUGUGGAGUCACCCUUGGGAUACCACCCUUGGAUUGCUGGGUUUCUAACCUGCGGCCAUGAAUCUGGUCGGGGGACACUGUUAGGCGGGCAGUUUGACUGGGGCGGUCGCCUCCUAAAGUGUAGCGGAGGCGCUCAAAGCUUGGCUCAGCAUGGAUGGAAAUCAUGCAAUGAGUGUAAACGUAUAAGCCAAGUUGACUGCGAGACCGACGGGUCGAGCAGGUACGAAAGUAGGAGUUAGUGAUCCGGUGGUAUGUGAGUGGAAAUGCCAUCGCUCAACGGAUAAAAGCUACCCUGGGGAUAACAGGCUGAUCUCCCCCAAGCGU
rnacentral:rRNA from 1 species